UACGUAGGGGGCGAGCGUUGUCCGGAUUUAUUGGGCGUAAAGAGCUCGUAGGCGGCCAGGUAGGUCUGCUGUGAAAACUCGAGGCUCAACCUCGAGACGUCGGCGGAACCAUCUGGCUAGAGUCCGGAAGAGGAGAGUGGAAUUCCCGGUGUAGCGGUGAAAUGCGCAGAUAUCGGAGGAACACCUAUGGCGAAGGCAGCUCGCUGGGACGUUACUGACGCUGAGACGCGAAAGCGUGGGGAGCAAACAGG
rnacentral:rRNA from 1 species